AUUCCAGCUCCAAUAGCGUAUAUUAAAGUUGUUGCAGUUAAAAAGCUCGUAGUUGAACUUCUUGGCAUCCUUUAAGCUGGCUUCGGUCGUUUCAAGGGUGUCAAUCCGCCAGGGAACUACAUUCGCACUUCACUGUGCGGUGUAAGGAACUGGCAUUUUACUUAGAAAAAAUUAGAGUGUUCAAGGCAGGCUAUCGCCCUGAAUACACAAGCUUGGAAUAAUGAAAUAGGACUAUUUCCAUUUUAUUGGUUAUUGGAUUUAGUAAUGAUUAAUAGGGACAGUUGGGGGCAUUUGUAUUUAAUAGUCAGAGGUGAAAUUCUUGGAUUUAUUAAAGACAAACUUAUGCGAAAGCAUUUGCCAAGGAUGUUUUCAUUG
rnacentral:rRNA from 1 species